rnacentral:rRNA from 1 species
ACGUCUACAUUAGACUACCCCUGUAGUCCCAGCCGUAAACUAUGCGCGUUAGGUGUAUCGGUGACCACGAGUUACCGAGGUGCCGAAGGGAAACCGUGAAACGUGCCGCCUGGGAAGUACGGUCGCAAGGCUAGAAACUUAAAGGAAUUGGCGGGGAGCACCACAACGGGUGGAGCCUGCGGUUUAAUUGGACUCAACGCCGGGAAGCUCACCGGAUAAGACAGCGGAAUGAUUGCCGGGCUGAAGACUCUGCAUGACUAGCUG